GUGGGGAAUAUUGGACAAUGGGCGAAAGCCUGAUCCAGCAAUGCCGCGUGAGUGAUGAAGGCCUUAGGGUUGUAAAGCUCUUUUACCAGGGAUGAUAAUGACAGUACCUGGAGAAUAAGCUCCGGCUAACUCCGUGCCAGCAGCCGCGGUAAUACGGAGGGAGCUAGCGUUGUUCGGAAUUACUGGGCGUAAAGCGCGCGUAGGCGGCUCAGCAAGUCAGGGGUGAAAUCCCGGGGCUCAACCCCGGAACUGCCUUUGAAACUGCUAGGCUAGAAUCCUGGAGAGGCGAGUGGAAUUCCGAGUGUAGAGGUGAAAUUCGUAGAUAUUCGGAAGAACACCAGUGGCGAAGGCGACUCGCUGGACAGGUAUUGACGCUGAGGUGCGAAAGCGUGGGGAGCAAACAGGAUUAGAUACCCGAGUAGUCC
rnacentral:rRNA from 1 species